UGAGGCAGAUGACCGUUCCGUGCCCGGCCCCAAGCCGGGCGCGGAAAGGAAAGUCCGAACACCUUCAGGCAGUCCACUUGGUAGAACACCAAGGCGUCCACCGGGAAACCGGGGGAUGACGGAAAGUGUCACAGAAAACAAACCGCCCCGAGCCAGUCGAGGGGCAAGGGUGAAACGGCGGGGUAAGAGCCCACCGCCCCGAGGGUGACCGAGGGGGCAAGAAAAACCCUGGACGGUGCAAGGCCAAACAGAGGGGUGGUUGCCUGACCCUCCGCGCAAGCGGAAGCCCCUCGGGUAGGCCGCAUCCCGCUCCGGCGGGAUCCCACGGAGCAAUCCGUGGGAAGAGAAAUGGUCAUCGGCCCCGGCCCCGUGCCGGGGUUACAGAAUUCGGCUUAUCGCCUCACCCA
rnacentral:RNase_P_RNA from 1 species